rnacentral:rRNA from 1 species
AUACGGAGGGGGCUAGCGUUGUUCGGAAUUACUGGGCGUAAAGCGCACGUAGGCGGAUUAAAAAGUUAGAGGUGAAAUCCCAGGGCUUAACCCUGGAACUGCCUUUAAAACAAGUAGUCUAGAGUUCGAGAGAGGUGAGUGGAAUUCCAAGUGUAGAGGUGAAAUUCGUAGAUAUUUGGAGGAACACCAGUGGCGAAAGCGGCUCACUGGCUCGAUACUGACGCUGAGGUGCGAAAGCGUGGGGAGCAAACAGGAUUAGAAACCCUUGUAGUCC